GACGAACGCUGGCGGCGUGCUUAACACAUGCAAGUCGAACGACGAGGCGAACGGGUGAGUAAUACGUGGGUAAACCGCCCUCCUUUUUGGGAUUAGCCUUGGAAACCGGGUCUAAUACCCACUUUAGGAGGAUGGGCUCGCGGCUUAUCAGCUUGUUGGUGGGGUGAUGGCCUACCAAGGCGGUGCCGGGUUGCCAGACUGAGCGGGGGAACGGCAACAGUGGGACUGGGAUGCGGCCCAGACUCGGCGGGGGGGGAGCAGUGGGUGAUAUUGCAGAAUGGGUGAAAGCCUGAUGCAGCGAGUCCGAGUGGGGGAUGAAGGCUUUCGAGUUGUAAACCUCUUUCGCUAUCGAACGGUUAGGUGGAGAAGAAGCACCGGCUAACUACGUGCCAGCAGUCGCGGUAAUAC
rnacentral:rRNA from 1 species